rnacentral:rRNA from 1 species
AGGACGAACGCUGGCGGCGUGCUUAACACAUGCAAGUCGAGCGGUAAGGCCCUUUCGGGGGUACACGAGCGGCGAACGGGUGAGUAACACGUGGGUGACCUGCCCUUAGCUCUGGGAUAAGCCUGGGAAACUGGGUCUAAUACCGGAUAUGACCUCGCGAUGCAUGUCGUGGGGUGGAAAGCCUUGUGCGGCUAGGGGAUGGGCCCGCGGCCUAUCAGCUUGUUGGUGGGGUGAUGGCCUACCAAGGCGACGACGGGUAGCCGGCCUGAGAGGGCGACCGGCCACACUGGGACUGAGACACGGCCCAGACUCCUACGGGAGGCAGCAGUGGGGAAUCUUGCGCAAUGGGCGAAAGCCUGACGCAGCGACGCCGCGUGAGGGAUGACGGCCUUCGGGUUGUAAACCUCUUUCAGCCCUGACGAAGCGAAAGUGACGGUAGGGCGAGAAGAAGCACCGGCCAACUACGCGCCAGCAGCCGCGGUAA